UACGUAGGGUGCAAGCGUUAAUCGGAAUUACUGGGCGUAAAGCGUGCGCAGGCGGUUUUGUAAGUCUGUCGUGAAAGCCCCGGGCUUAACCUGGGAAUUGCGAUGGAGACUGCAAGGCUUGAAUCUGGCAGAGGGGGGUAGAAUUCCACGUGUAGCAGUGAAAUGCGUAGAAGAUGUGGAGGAACACCGAUGGCGAAGGCAGCCCCCUGGGUCAAGAUUGACGCUCGAUGACGCGAAAGCGUGGGGAGCAAACAGG
rnacentral:rRNA from 1 species